UUUCCGUAGGUGAACCUGCGGAAGGAUCAUUACUGAGUUAGGGUCUUUAUGGCCCGACCUCCAACCCUUUGUUUAAUCUACCAUGUUGCUUUGGCAGGCCCGCUUAGAAAUGGGCCGCCGGAGACCUUUGAGUCUCUGGUCAGUGCCUGCCAGUAGCCUUUCUAAAUUCAUUUAUAACCGUGUCUGAAUAUACAAAGAAAAAUUAAAAUAAAACUUUCAACAGCGGAUCUCUUGGUUCUG
rnacentral:misc_RNA from 1 species